rnacentral:rRNA from 1 species
UGAAAAGAACUUUGAAAAGAGAGUUAAACAGUACGUGAAAUUGUUGAAAGGGAAACGAUUGAAGUCAGUCAUACCAACGGGAAAUCAACCUUUUGAGCUUGGUCUCGUGGGUUUUGAAGAGUUUCAAAGCCUUCGGAUUCGCGGGAUUGGGAUCUCUUGGUGUACUUUUUCGUACGGUUAGUCAACAUCGGUUUUGAAUGUCAUAAAAUGACUGGA